AUUGAACGCUGGCGGCAGGCCUAACACAUGCAAGUCGAGCGGAUGAAGGGAGCUUGCUCCUGGAUUCAGCGGCGGACGGGUGAGUAAUGCCUAGGAAUCUGCCUGGUAGUGGGGGAUAACGUCCGGAAACGGGCGCUAAUACCGCAUACGUCCUGAGGGAGAAAGUGGGGGAUCUUCGGACCUCACGCUAUCAGAUGAUCCUAGGUCGGAUUAGCUAGUUGGUGGGGUAAAGGCCUACCAAGGCGACGAUCCGUAACUGGUCUGAGAGGAUGAUCAGUCACACUGGAACUGAGACACGGUCCCGACUCCUACGGGAGGCAGCAGUGGGGAAUAUUGGACAAUGGGCGAAAGCCUGAUCCAGCCAUGCCGCGUGUGUGAAGAAGGUCUUCGGAUUGUAAAGCACUUUAAGUUGGGAGGAAGGGCAGUAAGUUAAUACCUUGCUGUUUUGACGUUACCAACAGAAUAAGCACCGGCUAACUUCGUG
rnacentral:rRNA from 1 species